AUUGAACGCUGGCGGCAGGCCUAACACAUGCAAGUCGAGCGGAUGAAGGGAGCUUGCUCCUGGAUUCAGCGGCGGACGGGUGAGUAAUGCCUAGGAAUCUGCCUGGUAGUGGGGGCUAACGUCCGGAAACGGGCGCUAAUACCACAUACGUCCUGAGGGAGAAAGUGGGGGAUCUUCGGACCUCACGCUAUCAGAUGAGCCUAGGUCGGAUUAGCUAGUUGGUGGGGUAAAGGCCUACCAAGGCGACGAUCCGUAACUGGUCUGAGAGGAUGAUCAGUCACACUGGAACUGAGACACGGUCCAGACUCCUACGGGAGGCGGCAGUGGGGAAUAUUGGACAAUGGGCGAAAGCCUGAUCCAGCCAUGCCGCGUGUGUGAAGAAGGUCUUCGGAUUGUAAAGCACUUUAAGUUGGGAGGAAGGGCAGUAAGUUAAUACCUUGCUGUUUUGACGGUACCAACAGAAUAAGCACCGGCUAACUUCGUG
rnacentral:rRNA from 1 species